rnacentral:tRNA from 4 species
GGGCCUGUAGCUCAGGUGGUUAGAGCGCACCCCUGAUAAGGGUGAGGUCGCUGGUUCAAGUCCAUUCAGGCCCACCA